GUUGGUUGGUUGGUUGGUUGGUUGGUUGGUUGGUUGGUUGGUUGGUUGGUUGGUUGGUUGGUUGGUUGAAAUUCAAACACACAUAAAACUGUUUAAAUAGUGCCAAAACCACAUAAUUUAAUUUGAUGACCUUGACCUUUGACCUUGUGACCUUCGUCAAGGUCAUUGCCUCCACAAGUCAUUGCAAAAGACCCUAUGGGUCAAGGACCUUUGUUUAAGAGUUUUGCCUAAAUAUGGCUUUUU
rnacentral:lncRNA from 1 species